rnacentral:rRNA from 1 species
AUUAAAGUUGCUGCGGUUAAAAAGCUCGUAGUUGGAUUACGAAGUGGUGUUUAAAUGUCAUUUUGGUUUGUUUGUCUCUCGGGGCAUUCAGGUCAACUUGGCUUUUACUCACUGUUGUCAUUGUCUUUGCCCAAGGUAUAUGCCUUGUGUGCAUGGCAUUGACCUUCUAUUUUAUGGUAAUGUUGUAUCUUUCGGGGUACAUUCAUUCCAUAUAGUUUACUUUGAAAAAAUUAGGGUGUUUAAAGCAGGCGAAAAGGCUUCGGAAUAUAUUAGCAUGGGAUAAUAGAAUACGAUCUAGGUCGUAAUUUGUUGGUUUCUACGGCUUAGGUAAUGAUUGACAGGGAUAGUUGGGGUCGCUCGUAUUGAGUUGUCAGAGGUGAAAUUCUAGGAUUAACUCAAGACGAACUAAUGCGAAAGCAUUCGGCAAGGAUGUUUUCAUUAAUCAAGAACGAGAGUUGGGGGAUCGAAGAUGAUCAGAUACCGUCGUAGUCUCAACUGUAAACUAUGUCGACCGAGGAUCCGGUAGCGUUACAUGGAUGACCUUCCGGGCACUCUGUGAGAAAUCAUAAGUAUUUGGAUUUCGGGGGGAGUAUGGUCGCAAGGCUGAAACUUAAAGGGAUUGACGGAAGGGCACCACCAGGAGUGGAAUCUGCGGCUUAAUUUGACCCAACACGGGAAAACUUACCAGGUCCGGACACAGUGAGGAUUGACAGAUUGAGAGCUCUUUCUUGAUUUUGUGGGUGGUGGUGCAUGGCCGUUUUUAGUUGGUGGAGUGAUUUGUCUGGUUAAUUCCGUUAACGAACGAGACCUUAACCUAUUAAAUAGCUGCGCGAACCCAGGUUCUUUAACCAUUCUCUCCUUCGGGGGGGCGUGGUAUCAUUAUUUUGCUUUUCACUUUCGGGUGGGAGGUAGGGUAGUGAUAGGGCCUGAGAUGAGUUGGUGAUUUGGCUUCUUAGAGGGACUACUUGCAUCCUUAGCAAGGGGAGGUUUGAGGCAAAAACAGGUCUGUGAUGCCCUUCGAUGUUCUGGGCUGCACGCGCGUUACACUGGCGCAUGCAAAGAGUUUAAAAUUCCUGUCCCGAUGGGGUUGGGAAAUCUUUUUAAAGUGCGUCGUGAUGGGGAUAGAGCAUUGAAAUUAUCGCUCUUGAACGAGGAAUUCCUAGUAAUUGCAGGUCAUCAACCUGCAAUGAUUACGUCCCUGCCCUUUGUACACACCGCCCGUCGCUCCUACCGAUGGUUGAACCGAUGAGGACUCGGGAUGAUCUUAUUAGAUCGGUCGGUCGAAAGAUCGAUAGACUAUUAGGUCAGAACUUGUUCAAAUCUUUUUAA